AUCACAAAAGUUGUUAUACUACAGCAUUCAUGAUAUCUGUUGCUGAACAAAAUCUGCAUGCUGCAUCGCUGUGCAUGUAAAAAAUUCUCUCUGUAGAGCUGAUUAUUUGUCUGUCAUCUCUCAGAGUGCUCCGGUGAAGUGGUGUGGUCCAGACGGCUGGGUUGUACUGAUCCGAGCUGUCAGAAGUUGGCUUGACCGAGUAGUUGUGGAGCUCCUGAGAGCCGGAGUGUGGCUGUCAAUAACACUGACCACACCGGGAGAUCUGAACUCCACUGGGACUCUCAUUCGCUACGGUGCUGCAGUGGACUUACUGGACCAUAAGGUGAAGGGAAAAGGCACUCUCUUCUAUAAAUAUUAAGAAGUGCCUCAUUUUCAGGGAUCAUUGGCCACAGGGGGAUGUCAACAACUCUGCCUACUGAUUGGCAGAUGGGAAUGGCAUUGGUCAGCCCAAGGAUUCUUGGCCACCCAUUUCACCCUAUCAGCACUCUCCAUGAAGUGAUGUCAGAGAUGGAGGACGAGGAGAGGGAGAUGACCCAGGACAUUCCUUGUUUCCGGUUUCCACAACCUGUGCCUCGACAGCGCUCGUUCUCCUGUACCCAGCAAGCACUGAAGCGCCGCUCCAGUGGCAACCAUCCAGAGUCAGUUAGCAGUGCCAGUCAAAAAAAUAGCCAAUGAGCAUGCAGAAAUAGUGAUCGUGCCCCACCCUAGAGAAGCGGCCAGCCAAUCAGAGAGCAAAAACACAGGGAACGUCCCCAGCGCAGCUCAGAUGGACUCUGAGAAAGAGAAUAUAAGGUACCGCAACUCCAAAAUCAGUGACAGGGUCAAUAGUGAGCCCACCGACUCCAUCCAAAGCAGCAAGUGACAGAUUAACAAAAAAAAAAAAAAAAGAAGACAUUGAAUAAUGCAUAAAACUGUUGUUUAAAAAUUUUCUACUGACUGUAUUAAAAUAAUCUAAUAUUAUUGGCUGAAUUUCAGGAAAACAU